UGCAAAGUAGGAAAGUAAACUACUACAACCUCUAGAGCGCUACGCCCUUACCGCGAUCCUCACCGGGGGCGCUCGAGCUCGGACCUGCAACAAGGUGGGGUGAGAACUACGAAUAGUUCUCAGUGGGUUCGGCCGCCGACUCCGCCGAUCUCCCCACUAGGUCUAAGCAGGCACAGAUAGAUAUACAGAUAGAUAGAUAUGAAACGACAGUAGCAUGAUAAGGAAAUAGAAAGUAAUCUACUAUGUCUCAAUCUGAUAUAAUGAAUGCAUGAAACUCAUAGAAAAAGGCUAGCUACCAUACUACUAUGUUCAACAAUGAAGCUAUUCAUUAGAUCACCCAAUCUCUCGGCUAAACCGAGGCUCUCUCUCAGUCUCACGCGUAUAAGUCUCCUAGGGGAGGAGGCCAACUACUCAACUACCCCCGAGACCGCCUGUGGACAGCUAGCGGCUGUCCGNUCAUUAGAUCACCCAAUCUCUCGGCUAAACCCAGGCUCUCUCUCUGUCUCACGCGUGUAAGUCUCCUAGGGAAGGAGGUCAACUACUCAACUACCACCGACACCGCCUGUGGACAGCUAGCGGCUGUCCGGGCAGCUAGCGGCUACCCCUCAAGUGACAAAUACUCCGGAGUGCACAACUUGUGUGGAGCUACCACUACAAGUGCAGACAGGCUACGUGAGCUCGAUCCAAUCUCAUGAACUGGGAACAUCCUACCAACUAAGGUUGGUGUUAUCAUGGAAUCAAAGUAUUCUAAUACUU
rnacentral:lncRNA from 1 species